GGGCGAGUGGUGAAAUUGGCAGACACGCAAGAUUUAGGAUCUUGUGCCGCAAGGCUUGUGGGUUCAAGUCCCGCCUCGCCCACCA
rnacentral:tRNA from 1 species